rfam:Picea glauca, whole genome shotgun sequence.
GUUCAAAUGAGGAAGGGCUUAUGGUGGAUACCUAGGAACCCAAAGACGAGGAAGGGCAUGGUAAGCGGCGAAAUGCUUCGGGGAGUUGAAAAUGAGCAUAGAUCUGGAGAUUCCCGAAUAGGUUAACCUUUUUAACUGUUGCUUAAUCCAUGGGCAGGAAAAAGACAACCUGGCAAACUGAAACAUCUUAGAAUCCAGAGGAAUAGAAAGAAAAAGCGAUUCCCGUAGUAGCAGCGAGCGAAAUGGGAGCAUCCUAAAUCAUGAAAACGGGGUUGUGGGAGAGCACAAUAUAAGCUCUAUGCUGCUAGGCGAAGCAGUUGAGUCCUGCACCCUAGAUGGUGAGAGUCCAGUAGACAAAAUCAUCAUUGGGUUACGUUCUAACCCGAGUAGCAUGGGGCACGUGGAAUCCCGUGUGAAUCAGCAAGGACCACCUUGCAAGCCUAAAUACUCUUGGGUGAUCGAUAGCGAAGUAGUACCGUGAGGGAAAGGUGAAAAGAACCCCCAUCGGGGAGUGAAUUAGAACAUGAAACCGUAAGCUCCCAAGCAGUGGGAGGAAAAUGAUAUCUCUUACCACAUGCCUAUUGAAGAAUGAGCCGGAGACUUAUAGGAAGUGGCUUGGUUAAGGGAACCCACCAGAGCCAUAGCGAGAGAGAGUCUUCAUGGGGAAAUUGUCACUUCUUAUGGACUCGAACCUGUGUGAUCUAUCCAUGACCAGGAUGAAGAUUGGGUGAAACUAAGUGGAGUUCCGAAAUGAAUGAUGUUGAAAAAUCAGUGGAUGAGUCGUGGUUAGGGGUGAAAUGCCACUCGAACCCAGAGCUAGCUGGUUCUCCCCUAAAUGUGUUGAGGUGCAACAGUUGACUGGACCAUCUAGGGGUAAAGCAGUGUUUCGGUACGGGCCACGAGAGCAGUACCAAAUCGAAACAAACUUUGAAUACUAGAUUGCCCCAAUAAAAGGGGUAAAGGUCAACCAGUGAGAUGAUGGGGGAUAAGCUUCAUCGUCGAGAAGGAAACGGCCCAGAUCAUCAGCUAAUGCCCCUAAAUGAUCGCUCAGUGAUGAAGGAAGUACGAGUGCAAAGAUAGCUAGGAGAGUUUCUUAGAAGCAGACAACCUUGAAAGAGUGCGUAAUAGCUCACUGAUCGAGUGCUCUUGCGCCGAAGAUGAACGAGACUAAGCGAUCUGUCGAAGCUGUGGGAUGUAAAAAUACAUCGGUAGGGGAGCGUUCUGCCUCAGAGGGAAGCACCGGCGUGAGCAGGUGUGGACAAAGCGGAAGAAAGAAUGUCGGCUUGAGUAACACAAACAUUGGUGAGAAUCCAAUGCCCCGAAAACCUAAGAUUUCCUCCGCAAGGUUCUUCCACAGAGGGUGAGUCAGGGCCUAAGAUCAGGUUGAAAGGCAUAGUCGAUGGACAACGGGUUAAUAUUCCUCUACUACCCCUUGUUGGUCUUGAGGGACGGAGGAGGCUAGGUUAGCCGAAAGAUGGUUAUCGGUUCAAGGACGCAAGGUGACUCUCUAUACAUUGAUUCAAAGGUAAAAGAAGAAUAAAAUAUAGGUGUGUACAAGGUGAGGUUGGGGGUGGAUAUUCCUCAUCAUCUACUCUAGCACACAAAAAUCCAAGAUGGCUUAUCCAAACAUUAUAGGAUGCAGAAAAUCAUGUAGGAGUGCCCAUAUCAUCAAUGAGGGUGAAUAUACCUCCUAGGAGAUAUGCUAACCAUAUUGUAUUAGAUUCUUCCAUUUGUGAUCUU